UAGGGAAUCUUCCGCAAUGGACGAAAGUCUGACGGAGCAACGCCGCGUGAACGAUGAAGGUCUUCGGAUCGUAAAGUUCUGUUAUCAGGGAAGAACAAGUAUCGGAGUAACUGCCGGUACCUUGACGGUACCUGACCAGAAAGCCACGGCUAACUACGUG
rnacentral:rRNA from 1 species